rnacentral:rRNA from 1 species
AGAGGCCACACCCGUUCCCAUCUCGAACACGGAAGUUAAGCUCUAUAGCGCCGAUGGUA